rnacentral:rRNA from 1 species
UGUAGUCAUAUGCUUGUCUCAAAGAUUAAGCCAUGCAUGUCUAAGUAUAAGCACUUUAUACCGUGAAACUGCGAAUGGCUCAUUAAAUCAGUUACCGUUUAUUUGAUAGUACCUUACUACAUGGAUACCUGUGGUAAUUCUAGAGCUAAUACAUGCUAAAAACCCCGACUCCGGGAGGGGUGUAUUUAUUAGAUAAAAAACCAAUGCCCCUCGGGGCUCCUUGGUGAAUCAUAAUAACUUAACGAAUCGCAUGGCCUUGCGCCGGCGAUGGUUCAUUCAAAUUUCUGCCCUAUCAACUUUCGAUGGUAGGAUAGUGGCCUACCAUGGUAUCAACGGGUAACGGGGAAUUAGGGUUCGAUUCCGGAGAGGGAGCCUGAGAAACGGCUACCACAUCCAAGGAAAGGCGCCGGGCGGGCAACUUACCCAAUCCCCGACACGGGGGAGGUAGUGACAAUAAAUAACAAUACAGGGGUCUUUUGGGUUUUGUAAAUGGGAUGAGUACCAAUUUAAAUCCCUUGACGAGGAACAAUUGGAGGGCAAGUCUGGUGCCAGCAGCCA